UUCACCAUGGUCAGAAGGUGUAUGCCUAUUUUGAGCUAAGAUCGUCCUUCCUUUUGGGUUGCCUUGGUAUUCUAAUGUCGUUUUUCCUUUCUAAGUCUAAAAGGACGUGGAAUCCCUUUUGUUUCAGACCAAAUCUCACUACAUCAAGAAAAAAUCUGAAGCAAAUCACCAAGACAGAUAUUCAAUUUCAAACGGCUAAAUUUUCAGAAAUCAAAGCCACACCCGUGACUUCUUCCCUUUUGAAAUUUGAAAAAUCCUAACUCUAAAUCUCUCCACCUAUAAAUACUUUCUAAAGGUCACAACCGUGAGGGGAGGGAAAAAGAGGCGAGCGGCAACCAUUUCCUGAGAAUUCGAGAUUUUUUAGUCACCUACAUCACUCAACUGAGCCGCUGCUCCACACCCUAAAAACACUACUCUUCUUCUCUUCACCACUGUUAUUGUCUCAAAAAAAAAAUCUAAAUCUUUUCGGUGAACUUUGACCGUGACAGAUCAUUCCGAUCGAGGUUCGAAUCUUUUCAUAACGAGAGAGUAGAUUCGAGACCACCACCGACCCAGUUCACUGCUCCCAAACAAAUCCAGGUACCUCCUACCAGUCUAGGCAUCAUUGAGUUGAGUUUGUACAUGGAGACUUCAAGGUACACUUGCCAGCGUCCGCAGGCCUUGGAGUCACCCUCUAUCUACUUUUAUAUAUUCCUUCUUUUACUAGUUACAGUUGUAUAGGGGUGACUAUUAUGUCGUUGUAGAGCUUGUGACUCGAUAUCACCAGGUUUUGGGAAAAUUGUAUAUGUUGAGCAGCGGAGUUUAUUUUAUAUAUUUGUUGAGUAUUUGA